AACUGAACACCAAAAUCUGAAGUCCAGAAGGAAGAAGAGAACAUCACUGCUCUACAAAAUGUGAGGAAAAUGUUUCCAAAUACUCUGCCAAGAGGCUGAAGCUGCAGAGA